AGUGAACGCUGGCGGUAGGCCUAACACAUGCAAGUCGAACGGCAGCACAGUAAGAGCUUGCUCUUACGGGUGGCGAGUGGCGGACGGGUGAGGAAUACAUCGGAAUCUACUUUUUCGUGGGGGAUAACGUAGGGAAAAUUACGCUAAUACCGCAUACGACCUACGGGUGAAAGCAGGGGAUCUUCGGACCUUGCGCGAUUGAAUGAGCCGAUGUCGGAUUAGCUAGGUGGCGGGGUAAAGGCACACCACGGCGACGAUCCGUAGCUGGUCUGAGAGGAUGAUCAGCCACACUGGAACUGAGACACGGUCCAGACUCCUACGGGAGGCAGCAGUGGGGAAUAUUGGACAAUGGGCGCAAGCCUGAUCCAGCCAUACCGCGUGGGUGAAGAAGGCCUUCGGGUUGUAAAGCCCUUUUGUUGGGAAAGAAAAGCAGCAGGUUAAUACCCCGCUGUUCUGACGGUACCCAAAGAAUAAGCACCGGCUAACUUCGUG
rnacentral:rRNA from 1 species